GUCAUGUUAUUAUCUCAUAAUAUAUCUUUAAACCCCUGUAAUACCUCAGUUAUCAGAUAAGAUUGGAUGCAUUAUCAUAUGUUAGCAAAGAGGUUCGUCCGAGCAAUUUACCCGUGGGAUUGUCACGUGCUAACGGAAACUGAGAAGAGUGGUUAACUGCGUGUGGUUAUUGUACCUCAUCAUCAACUGUUCUCAGGCUAAUUACCUCACCUCAUUCUCCACAUCUACAUAAAAGGGAAGGUGUUUCUAUACUUUUUUAAUAUAAUAAUACAAUUAUUAUGCACAUUCAGUUUUCUCGCGCUUUCAUUCAAGAUUGCUUCACCACUUUUGAUUUAAUGUUCAUAUAAUGUAGAUGUAAUAUUACGCACGGGACAAUCACAACUUAUUUCCUUUCAGAUCAGUUGCUUGCUGUUUUCCAGUCUUCACAUUCAGUUUCACAACUAUCAACAGUUCCUUGCAUGCCAUAGGCUCGCUUAUAGAAAAAAAUGCCGUCUCCGGAUCAGCCCUCCUUGACAGUUGACUCUAUCAUAUCACAAUCCAUGAAAUGAGCAGCUGUGAACACAAUUUUGUCAAAACAUAACGCACACCAUCGGCUGCUGAUUGAGUGAUAUUACUUCCUAAUUCACAGAUCUCCAAAUCUACUACUUUACACUAACCUAGCAAGACAAUGGAAUGAACACUUCAUCUUACUGAACUAAUUAACAUACUGGACAUUGAGACUUGAAUUCCAAUAAUUGGUAUCAUUGAAGUAUGACUGAAACACAUCAUUUAAUCUUGUAUAACCACUAAUUAGAAAGUGGAACAGAGGGACCAGUUUUAUGCACAACAUGAUAAUAAUAUGUUCUCUUCCUUAACUAUCCAUUUCCAUUUCACCGGAACCUACAUUA